rnacentral:rRNA from 1 species
CCUACGGGAGGCAGCAGUGGGGAAUAUUGGACAAUGGGGGCAACCCUGAUCCAGCCAUGCCGCGUGUGUGAAGAAGGCCCUCGGGUUGUAAAGCACUUUCAGUGAGGAAGAACGCCUGGUGGUUAAUACCCAUCAGGAAAGACAUCACUCACAGAAGAAGCACCGGCUAACUCCGUGCCAGCAGCCGCGGUAAUACGGAGGGGUGCGAGCGUUAAUCGGAAUUACUGGGCGUAAAGCGCGCGUAGGUGGCUUGAUAAGCCGGUUGUGAAAGCCCCGGGCGCAACCUGGGAACGGCAUCCGGAACGGGCAAACUAGAGUGCAGGAGAGGAAGGUAGAAUUCCCGGUGUAGCGGUGAAAUGCGUAGAGAUCGGGAGGAAUACCAGUGGCGAAGGCGGCCUUCUGGACUGACACUGACACUGAGGUGCGAAAGCGUGGGUAGCAAACAGGAUUAGAUACCCUUGUAGUC